GACGAACGCUGGCGGCGUGCUUAACACAUGCAAGUCGAACGGUGAUGCUCCAGCUUGCUGGAGUGGAUCAGUGGCGAACGGGUGAGUAACACGUGAGCAACCUGCCCCAGACUCUGGAAUAAGCGCUGGAAACGGCGUCUAAUACUGGAUACGAAACUAGCCCGCAUGGGCAUGGUUUGGAAAGUUUUUCGGUUUGGGAUGGGCUCGCGGCCUAUCAGCUUGUUGGUGAGGUAAUGGCUCACCAAGGCGACGACGGGUAGCCGGCCUGAGAGGGCGACCGGCCACACUGGGACUGAGACACGGCCCAGACUCCUACGGGAGGCAGCAGUGGGGAAUAUUGCACAAUGGGCGAAAGCCUGAUGCAGCGACGCCGCGUGAGGGAUGACGGCCUUCGGGUUGUAAACCUCUUUCAGCAGGGAAGAAGCGAAAGUGACGGUACCUGCAGAAGAAGCACCGGCUAACUACGUG
rnacentral:rRNA from 1 species